rnacentral:lncRNA from 1 species
AUUUAUCAUAAUUCUAGAGUUCGCAUUUUAACUACGUAACGGCCUGGAUGUUCCCAACUUACACAUUAGAUGUUCCCAACUUACACAUUAGUGAACAACGUGAAUAACCAAAUUUUACCCAUAUACCUUUAAAGUAUAGUACAUGUACAAGUAUUUACUCACCUGUAAUAAACUUUAAAUGCAAUUACUGAAUUAGGAGCAAAUAUAAAAUCGGCGCAAAUGAAAAAAUAAAAUCGGCGCAAAUGAAAGCAAAAGAAGAC